rnacentral:misc_RNA from 1 species
GAUGAAGAACGUAGCGAAAUGCGAUACUUGGUGUGAAUUGCAGAAUCCCGCGAAUCAUCGAGUUUUUGAACGCAAGUUGCGCCCGAAGCCAUUCGGCCGAGGGCACGUCUGCCUGGGUGUCACGCAUCGUUGCCCCCCCAAACUCCGGUUCGGGCGGGGCGGAAGUUGGCCUCCCGUGCGUGCCUGCGCGCGCGGUUAGCCCAAAAGCGAGUCCUUGGCGACGAGCGCCACGACAAUCGGUGGUUUUUUUACCCUCGUUCCUCGUCGUGCGUGUCCCGUCGCCCGAACGCGCUCUUGUGACCCUCACGCGUCGCCUCGGCGGCGCUCCCAACGCGACCCCAGGUCAGGCGGGACUACCCGCUGAGUUUAAGCAUAUCAAUAAGCGGAGGA